UUUCCUUACCCCUGUUGUUUGUGUCUGUCUUGUCUAUUUUCCCCUACAUUUAAUAAUCAUUAUUCCAUUGAUGCACUUCUCUUUACUCAUACUCAAAAAAAGUUUACAAACUAGCUAAGCUUGUUAAUUAUUUUUCUCAGAAAGCCAGCACCCACAUGAGAAGCUAACAGCGGGUGGUCUGCUGAAGUGCUGUGUAUACGACACCAGGGAUACCACGGCCGGACCAUCGGCAGGAGGACCCAGCCGAGGAUGAUCGGGAGGACUACCCAAGGAAUACCACGGCCUGACCAUCGGCAGGAGGACCCCUCUGCUGAAGUGGAGGAUGAUACGGACGACUACCAAGGAGUACCACGCCGGACCAUCGGCA